GAACCAGGACACCAAGAAGUGAAGUACUGAGUGAGUUUAAACUCCAACUUACAGACGACUGUGAAAGAAGGAGAAACAGUGUGACGAAGCCUCUCGAGCCCCAGAGAAAAGAGUCCAGUCGAACCUUCAAAGCAGAGACUGUGUCGGCCUCCUGAUCUGAACCUGGGCUCUGGUUCCACAUGAGAGGCUGAGGCCACCUGAGAGCUGAGCGUCAGUCUGGAAGAGGUUGAACAGGUUUGUUCUUGUUGCUGGUUUCUCUCUCAGCUGACUGAAGAUGAGUGAUGUGGAUGAAGAGGAGGACAGACCAGAGUCUGUGGACAGGAGAUGCAGACCAAUUUGUGUCCAGC